AGGGUAAUAAUUGGGAUAUUACAUAGUGUGUGUACAUAUAUGAAUUCAUUUUCGCUUAUUUUGUAGUGAAAUGGCUGGGAAAGGAGGUGAAUUUGGAACAUCUGAAACUCAAGGAACGAACGCCGAUUAGUCAUACAUUAGGGUUGCUGAUUAUUUCUGCGUGAAUGCCUUUCUCGGGCGCUCCCGGAGGCCUAAGAAUGACAGAACCAGGCGAAGCUGUUGCGACCGGGAGGAGGAGAUACUUGUUGUGACACUGAAGGAUCUUUCCACACAAGGCUGGAAAUCUGACAACGGUUUCCGGGCUGGAUACCUUGGUAAGCUAGAGGAGGCUGUGAAACGGCAUUGCCCAGAUUCUGAUAUCAAAGCGACACCCCACAUCGUCUCAAAGAUAACCGCUUGGAAGAGGUCAUAUUACCUGCUGCAAGGAAUACUGUCUCGGUCUGGGGUCGGGUUCAACACAGAUGGAGAUUACAAAAUUUAUUGUGAUCACGACCAGUGGUCCCAGAGGGCCGAACCUAAUGCCUGUUUCAUGAGGACCAAAGCUUGCCCCUAGUGGCCCCAUUGGCAAGUGAUUUUUGGAAAUGACCGUGCGAAUGGAGAGGUUUCUGAGGACCUUCGAGAGGCCGAAAUGGAAUUUGAUCUUGGUGGAAAUGGAGGUGCUAGAGGGCAACAAUCUGCAAAUCUGGAGGACAUAUCUGCAUCAGGUGUAGGUUAUGGAACUAAAGAGCUAGUUGAAGACAACACAUCUAUGUCUGAGGGGGGAGUUCUGGUAGUGGGAAGAAGCGGAAGACUUCAGGAGGUAGUUCCACUAGUGGGAAGGUAGAUACCAACAUUGAUGGUCUCGUUCAUUCGAGGACACCAACGACAGAAUCCAGUCCCUGAGUUUCCGCUUAGGAUAUGAAUUUAAUUUGAGCAAGGCCGGGAAACAGGUGCACAAGAUGCUCGACAAGCUUCCUGCUUUGAGCAAAGCACAGAAGUUCGAUGCUAGGGAACUUAUUCUGCACUAGGUGGAUCGUCUUGACUUCUUCCUAGGGAUACCACAAGAGGAUCGUGAGGAUUAUGUCCUUCACGCCCUUGAAAGGUUCGGUCAGAAGUGAUCUUCUUAUCUUGCCCAAUCCCUAAUAGCCAUGUAGUGGCUUCUUUUGUCAAGCAAAUUGUAAUAUAUCUAUGGCUUGAUUUCUGUAGGUCGUUUAUGUUUUUUUAAGACUUCUUCCGUGGAUUCUGUGAUGACUAAACUUGGAUGAUUCCAGUGUAGUUUUAUUAAGGCGGCUUUGUAUAUGCCUUUAGGUUAAUUUAUGUGGAUUGGGGCGGUGUUAUUAUGUAAUA